AAGUCGUAACAAGGUUUCCGUAGGUGAACCUGCGGAAGGAUCAUUAACAAAUCAUGUUUGUGCGUGCUUCUCUCACGAGAAGUUACGCAUAAAAUUAGCGCUCUGCCAUCUUUGCUCUAUUUUUUAGAGCAUAGGGGCAUUGUGUGUGCUUUGUAUGCCUUAACCGGCAUACUUGGCGCUGGGUCUUCGGAUCCAACAUAGACGAUUGUAUUGUUUUGACAGAGUUUUAUUAUGACAAAUAAUAAAAGACAACUUUUAACAAUGGAUCUCUUGGCUCCC
rnacentral:misc_RNA from 1 species